UCCUCCUGUCUCAGCCUCCCAGAGUGCUAGGAUUAUAGGCCUGAGCCACCAUGCCCUGCCUCCUUUUCUAAUUUUAUGGUCUACCCCCAGCUCCCACCAGAAUAUAAGCUCUGUAAAGGAGUGAGUUUUUGUCUUAACUCCUGCUAAAUACUCGGUGCCUACAACAGUGCCUGGCUCUCAAUACUGUAAUUAUUUCAAGUACAUUUACAUUCUGGCCGGUGCUUUCCUUCCAAUGCAUGCACAGCUGAAAUAUCCCUUCUUAGGGGCUCCGAUAUCCUUCAUGCCCAUUGCACUCCUGUCACCCUGUCCCAUGUUCUGGCAUAAAGUGGUCAUCAUCCACUCGGACUGAGUCCUCUUCUGUCCCACUGGACGGAGAGAUGAGACCUAAUGGAGCUCCCUGCUAGGAAAGGAGGGGCGUUCCCAGCAGGGAGAACCGCAGGUGGAUGGGCCUGAGUAGUAAGGGACAGUCAGGUGCAACUGAGCCAGGGCUUGUGGGCCAGCUGCAGACUCACCGCUGCCCAAGAGUCCCUGAGGCUGGAAGGCUGGUGUGCUGGUGGCCCCCCUAGGCUGCUGCAGUCUGAGGAGAGAAGCGAUAGUGAUGCCUUGUGUCUCCCUUGCCCCUUACCUCCAGGCCCAGUGAAGGGCCCACCUGGGAUAUAGGCAUCUCCUCGGAGCUGGUCAGGCAAGUGGCCCCAGUUGGGCGGCUGUGGACGCCGACUCCUGACCAGGAAGGCACGGGGCAUCCCCUCGGCAAUGGUGAGAUGGCUCUGUGCACAGGCUGCCUCCAGCAGCUGUCGGGACUCAGCCCCAAUGACUAUCCCAGGAGAGGAGGGGAAGCCAGGAGAUCAUGCAAAUUUCCUGACUGGUGCAGCUGACUUAGUGAGCUGGCUCCGGUUACCUCUGCCCUGGGAGCUGCUGUUCAUCCCCCUCUUCUCCCAGCGUUUCCGGAGGGAACUCUCCAGCCUCCAGGGCAGACAAGCACUAGGACCCCCAAGGAGGGUCAAGGCAGGGGAGAUGGGCCUAGGCAGUUCUGGGGGAUGGGGACAGGAAACAUGGCCGGGGGGGCUGAGUGUCUCCUGUAGUACCAGCUGGGCAAAGGACUUGAGGGUCUGUUUGCCAGGCAAAUCAGUCCCCACAGGAUAUCCAACAGCCUGCUUGGUUAUUCAAAUCUCAGCAGCUGUCUGAGGAAACAGGGCAGGAGACCCCGCUGAUUGCCUUGCUCCAGAGGGUGCAGGGAGGACAGGUAAGGGCAAAAUGGGGAUCCAGGCUGUGUGUCCUCAGGCAGGAGCCUCCAUCUCUCUGAUCCUCAGAUGCCCAGAGCUACUGUUCAGCCAGAAGCCCUGGUGUAGUGGGCACUAAGAUAUUGGUUUGUUAAUGAUCCAGCCCCUGGUGACUGCCUGGGACACCACUCCCCUCUCCCAGUCUAGAAACUAAAGCGGAGAAGCAGGGGGGCACUCAACACAGCCAGGGGCUCCCAAGACCCUCCCCUGGUGCAUCACUGGCCAAGCUCUGUUCUAGAGUGGUCACUGUCUGGUUCUUAACCAGGGAUUAAGAAUUUUGGACACUCCCCAUGCGGUUACUUUCUCCUAUUUAUUUACCCAGCGAUUUUCUGAGUUCCAGCCAUAGGCCAGGCCUGUGUGCAAACGAACACAAUAGUUGGUGAAGGAGACACCAGGGACAGCCCAGAAUGAUCAGGACUGUGAGAGGGACGCACAGGCAGAGUGAGCCAGGCUGUGACGGGGAAAGCCCAGGGGGGUCUGGGGGCCCCAGAGAGGCCCCUGAUCCAGCCUGUGGGGCAGCAUGGCUUCCAGACGUGAACCCGGGAAGCUGUUUCAGAUGGAGGGGACGGUGUCCAUCCCAGGCUGAGGGAAGUCUGCACAAAGGCUUGGUGGUGAGUUGGCUGCGCUGAUUCAUUUGGGGCAGCUGUGCCACUGUUUCUGGAGGACCUGGGCCAAGGCAUUUCUCAUUGAGCCUCAGUUUCUUCACCUGGGAAGUGGGACUAAGGAGUCUCCCUAUCAUUACUUGGUGUUGAACAUCCAUGGAGAGAAUGCUUAGCACAGAGACUGGCAUGUGGCAGACAUAAAAAGGGGUGCGGUUAGGAUGUCGUGAGGGGUGUGGUGGCGCGGCAAGCAUCUGGGUCUCAGUUGGCCUGUCUGUAAAGUGGGGUUUUUAAGCGGUGUCUCCAUCAGUUGCCGGAUGUCCUGCAGCCUUGACUAGGGUGCCGGGCACAGGUCUGGUGGCUGAGUACCUAGGAGCUGUCCUGAUGACUUCUGCCAAGGUAAGUGUGGGGUGCAGAGGGCAAGUGGUAGAGAAGGAAGAGCUGACAGACGGGGUUUGGGAGAGCCUUUCUGUUUCUUCUCAGGGGCCCAGUUGUCCGUGCCCACCACAUCUCCUGCGGCAACCAGUUCCAGUGUUGCUGAAGCCAGAAACCUGGUGCCAGCUGUCUUCAUUUGUCCCCAGACCCCUGUCCCGUUCCACACUGGCCUGUGUCCUGGGAGGUGGCCUGAAAGGGCUAUAUCACGCAGGCUCCCAUUCCAUCUGGCCUGCGGUAGCAUCGGAACAGCAGGGUGCCCUGCAGGCGUGUCUGUUUUGCUCUCUAGAAGGUGAAUGGCCGUGAGGGCAGAUGCUUUGCCUGACCUGUUCCUCAUUUUGUCCCUAAUGUGCAGAACAGUGACAGGUACCUGGGAGCUGGCAGGGUUUUUUGAACAACUGCAAGAUUGGUCCUGAUAUGUGUCAUGUUAUGGCAGCAGAGAGCUGUGUCCUCAUGUUGAAGGGUCCAGCUCUGCCACCAGGCAAACUUAGGUGUGAGUCUCAGCUCUGGAUCACUCUAAACAGUGGGGAAGAACUCACAGGCCCCAGGAGGCCAUGUGGUGAGACUGUGCUUUAGGAAAGGGCCCUACUGGCUGCUUUUUAUAGGGACUUGGGACAAUGGGGGCAUUUGUGCUCAUGAGAGUGGCCUUCCUAACAGACACUCCUGGGAUAAAGAACAACUCCUGGGGAAGGAGUUACUGGUUCUAGCUGCUGGGUGGCCUGGGCCUACCAGGACUGCCCAGUGGGCUAGUCUGCUUGUCUCUCCUUAGUUUCUCCUGUUGCAGAUGGGGACAACAGCCUGGACCUUGUUGGAUCCAGUGUGGGCCUGGCCCAAGGGCCAUGAACCAGUGGUGUGGCAAACAUGGACUGCUGGCUGUGGAUCCAAAGGAAGGUGGAGGCCAGCUCAGUCUGCACCUGCUGCUGCUCAGCAUCCACCUGGUCACUGGAGACCAACUGCAAGGGAUGCCGACCUUGUCAUGGGCCACCUGGGCCAGGCAGCCUGAGGAGCCCCCUCGACCCUUUCCCCUGCCUCUCGGGCUUGGCUUACCACAUGGUAAAGGUCAAGGGCUUCUUGGAAGGCAGUCUGCAGCCUGUGUAAGAUGUCUCCUACACUGCUCAGCUCAAGGGGAGCUGGGGACAGGACCUCAGCUGGCACCCCAGGCUCGCUCCAGCUCCUGGGGCUGCUCCGGUGCAGACUCAGCGCAUCUGGGGUGGAGAGGAGGCAAUGAGCAAGACACAGCUUCCUCCCAGCUGGUGGGAGAGAGGCCAGGGCAUCUGGGCCGAGUCCAGUUACUGUGGUUGUGUCUGAAUACUUGCUCAGUCCCCAGGCUCCUUCCUCCCCUCCUGCAGGUCUCUGCUCAGAUGCAGCCUCUUCCCAUCAUCCUGUUCAGAACUGCCAGCAAUGACCCCUUCUCACUGCCUGAUCCCCUUUCUGAUGUCUCUCCCUAGCACGUGUCACUUCAUGACACAUUUGACACUUUCCUUACAGAUUUUGCUGGGGUAUUGCCCCUAACAAACAUGUCAGUUUUGUAUUGUCUUGUUUACCACCAUGUACCCAGGGCCUAGAACAAAUCCCAACAGGUAUAAAAAUGCUCAUUAAAUAGUUAAGUAAAUGAAUGAAUAAAUGAGUGAAUGGCA